rnacentral:rRNA from 1 species
UACGGGGGGGGCGAGCGUUGUUCGGAAUCACUGGGCUUAAAGGGCGCGUAGGCGGAUUCUCAAGUCCGGGGUGAAAUCCCACAGCUCAACUGUGGAACUGCCUCGGAUACUGGGGGUCUCGAGGGUGGUAGGGAUAUGCGGAACUAUCGGUGGAGCGGUGAAAUGCGUUGAUAUCGAUAGGAACUCCGGUGGCGAAGGCGGCAUACUGGACCACUUCUGACGCUGAGGCGCGAAAGCCAGGGGAGCAAACGGG